GUGAUCGCUUCAGCAGCACAUAUACUAAAAUUGGAACAACACAGAGAAGAUUAGCAUGGGCCCUGUGCAAGAAAGACAACAAAACAAAACAAAGAGAGGGAGAAUGGGUGU